rnacentral:rRNA from 1 species
CCUACGGGAGGCAGCAGUGAGGAAUAUUGGUCAAUGGGCGGAAGCCUGAACCAGCCAAGUAGCGUGCGGGAUGAAGGCCCUACGGGUCGUAAACCGCUUUUGCACGGGGAUAACACCCUCCACUUGUGGAGGUCUGCAGGUACCGUGCGAAUAAGGGCCGGCUAAUCCCGGGCCAGCAGCCCCGGAAAAACGGAGGGCCCGGCGGUUUUCCGGAUUUAUUGGGCUAAAAGGGGGCGUAGGCGGGCGUUCAAGUCAGCGGGAAAAUGGGGCGGCUCAACCGCGCCCCGCAGUUGAAACUGGACGCCUUGAGUGCACAACAGGCAGGCGGAAUGCGUGGUGUAGCGGUGAAAUGCAUAGAUAUCACGAGGAACCCCGAUUGCGAAGGCAGCCUGCCGGGGUGCGACUGACGCUGAGGCUCGAAGGUGCGGGUAUCAAACAGGAUUAGAUACCCUGGUAGUC